rnacentral:rRNA from 1 species
UAUAUCGGAACGUGCCCAGUCGUGGGGGAUAACGUAGCGAAAGCUACGCUAAUACCGCAUACGAUCUACGGAUGAAAGCGGGGGAUCGCAAGACCUCGCGCGAUUGGAGCGGCCGAUAUCAGAUUAGCUAGUUGGUGGGGUAAAAGCCCACCAAGGCGACGAUCUGUAGCUGGUCUGAGAGGACGACCAGCCACACUGGAACUGAGACACGGUCCAG